CCCUAGCCCCGAUAGUAAUGGAAAUCCUUUUGUGCCGGGGUUCGGCACAAAAGAUUGUAAUGAAUAGCGGGAUUAGCU
rnacentral:sRNA from 1 species